GCCUUCGUGGUGUAGUGGUCAGCACGCACUGCGCAUAUUCGGCAGGUCCGUGGUUCAAGUCCCGGCGAAGGCA
rnacentral:tRNA from 1 species